rnacentral:rRNA from 1 species
AGUGAACGCUGGCGGCAUGCCUAACACAUGCAAGUCGAACGGCAGCACAGUAAGAGCUUGCUCUUACGGGUGGCGAGUGGCGGACGGGUGACGAAUACAUCGGAAUCUACUUUUUCGUGGGUGAUAACGUAGGGUAACUUACGCUAAUACCGCAUACGACCUACUGGUUAAAGAAGGGGUUCUUCGUACCUUACGCUAUUGAAUCAGCCGCUGUCGGAUUAGCUAGUUGGAGGGGUAAAGUCCCACCAAGGCGACGAUCCGUAGCUGGUCUGAGAGGAUGAUCAGCCACACUGGGACUGAGACACGGUCCAGACUCCGACGGGAGGCAGCAGUGGGGAAUCUUCGACAAUGGGCGAAAGCCUGAUGCAGCAAUACCGCGUGAGUGAAGAAGGCCUUCGGGUUGUAAAGCUCUGUUGUUGGGAAAGAAAAGCAGCAGGUUAAUCCGCCGCUGUUCUGACGGUACCCAAAGAAUAAGCCCCGGCUAACUUCGUG